rnacentral:rRNA from 1 species
UACGGAGGGGGCUAGCGUUGUUCGGAAUUACUGGGCGUAAAGCGCACGUAGGCGGCUACUCAAGUCAGAGGUGAAAGCCCGGGGCUCAACCCCGGAACUGCCUUUGAAACUAGGUAGCUAGAAUCUUGGAGAGGUCAGUGGAAUUCCGAGUGUAGAGGUGAAAUUCGUAGAUAUUCGGAAGAACACCAGUGGCGAAGGCGACUGACUGGACAAGUAUUGACGCUGAGGUGCGAAAGCGUGGGGAGCAAACAGG